GGCUUUAGGGAGGGGGUGGGAGAGAGGUCUGGGGUCAGGGAGUCUUCGAGGCCCCCGCUGAGGGGACUGCGAAUCUACCAUUGAACCGUGCACCGGGGACAUGGACGAAAUGAGACGCGACACGGACAAGAGCAUUUUGCUCUGCUUCCAGGAAACAUCAAGUGAGUCCGGUCCUCAGUUCUCACAGGGGAGCCUGAUGGGGCUGAAGCGGGUCCCGCAGGGAUGGAGGGGGCGCUCAGGGUGCUGGGUGGGCUCAGGCGGCAGGGCCUCCCAGCACCCAAUGAGAGCUCUGCGGGCGGGGGCGUCCAGAGAGCGCUGGGGCCCCCCCGCACGUGUCGUGCGCUAGAGAGCAGGUCCCCCGGGUCCCCCGCCCGCAGAGCCUUCUCGGGGCUCUCCGAGGCCCUCGGCUCCCCACAGGCCGCUCCCUUCGCGUCCCCCCUCCCUUUCCAACGCCUUCACUCCGCUGGUUUUUCUUCCUCCUCCUCGGCACUGAGCUGAGACGCGCUGAGCAGUUUGCUCUCCUUUUUCCACUUCAUGCGCCGGUUCUGGAACCAGAUCUUGAUCUGCCGCUCGGUCAGGCACAGGGCGUGCGCGAUCUCGAUGCGCCGCCGCCGCGUCAGGUAGCGAUUGUAGUGAAACUCUUUCUCCAGCUCCAGCGUCUGGUAGCGCGUGUAGGUCUGGCGGCCGCGUCGGCCGCUGGGCCCAAAGGAGGAACCUGUUACGCAGAGAGAAGAUGCUGAGGCCUGGGGUCAGCGGGGCCAGAACCCCCUCCCCCACUCGACCCUCAGACAUGGACUCUAGCCUGUCCCGGGAUGCCCUCCGCUCUCCGAGAGUUCCCUGCUCCCCCCCCCCGCCCCCCUCUUUCACUCCUCCAGCGCCCCCUCCAGAUUCCCUCCGGGUCUCCCAGGCCUGUGCCUCUGGUCUAGACUCCAGGUGGGGGAUGGGAGGAGGGCUUAAAAUCCCACCUGAGCCGAGGGGGAGGGGCUGGGGAAGCACUGGCCAGGUGUGUCUCUUCCUAGCCUCAUCUUUUCUUUCCAUCUAUCUGGCUCCCCCACCACCCUGUGAUAGAUUCCAGCCCUUAAUCCGUAAUGACGUGGAUCGAUCCAUAGUCGGCAUUAACGGCUCCUCACUUUCGUGUCCCGCUAAUGGACAUCAAUUUGGGACUUCAGGCCGACAAAUAAUCCAACCUGAGACCCAGGCGCCUGCUUCUCCCUCUCUCCCCCUCCGCCUGCCUGCGCCUGCUCCCUCUCCCUUUCUUCCCCUUAUUCGCCCUCCCUCCUCUGACUACCACCCCUUUCCUGGUGCCUCCUCCCUCCCCAGCCCCGGGCCCCCAGGGAAACACAGUCCGGGACAGACUCAACUCUCCCUCGCCAGCGUCACGCCGCCCCCCUUCCUAUGACGCACUCCGUUUUUAAUGGAACCGUCUUCGGGUGGGGGACCCGACCAGGGCUGGGGGCACGAGGGAAAGCCACGCCAGUGGCUGCGGCCCCUGCCCCCUCCCCUGCCCCGGAAUCCGGCUCUGGCGUGGCGCUCCGGGAGAGCCCACUCGCUCCCCCUGGCUCCCAGUGCAGCUGGGACUUUGCAAACUUUGUAACUCCUGAGGGCCAGAGGACAGAGCGGGAGACCCGGGGCAGGCGCCCAGUCCUCCCUUAGCUCCUAACUGAGAUGCCCACCCAGCACCCCGGGGGGGGGCGGGGGCGGGAAGGAGGUGGGGGCGCUACUUCUGUCCCCGGGGGUGGGGGCCCGCGGGGGUCGGGGCGGCCGCGGGAGGGCUCACUCACUGUUGCACGAAUUCAUCCGCUGCAUCCACGGGUAGACCGGAGUGGAGCACUUCUGCUCCUCCGCCUCGCCGAACACGCUCUUGUCCUGCGCACAGUCUGACUUCCGCGGCUCAGGGUGGAACCGGGGCGGCUCUUCGGCGCCCGAGAGCGCGCAGGCCGACUCCUUCUCGCGGUAGAAGGCCGGCGCCGGCCCGUAGUCGCAGGGCGCCGCUCGGCCGUAGCCGCCGCCAGCGGGCGGGUAAUAGGAGGAAGCGGCAAAGCCCUUGUCCUGGCCGGGCCCGGGCCCGUAGGGCGCGGGGUAGUGCCUCAGCGGGUCCGCAUAGCCCGACGAGUAGAGCGGUAGCUGGCCCAGGAAGGACUCCUGCCCGCUGGCCAGAGUGACGGGGAAGGUGGAGUUCACGAAAUAGGAACUCAUUGGGAGGGGAGGCGCGCUCGGCCGCUGCUGCUCCGCCGGGUUUAUGAUUUGUUGUGUUUUAUAGUCCGAGCGCCGCGCCUAUUAGUAGUAUAUCUGAGAUUGGGUUUUAGCUGAGGGGGGAUGGCGAGGUGCCAGUGAGGGCCAGAAGGAAAUACAACCAUCUGAUCCAACACUGACCAAUGGCAGAGGCAGGAAUUGUCAAAUAGCACCCAGGAGGAGCGCAGCCCGCGCGAGGGACCCGCGCACAAACCUAUCAACCUUUUUUUUUUCCCUCCUUCUUCUCCUUCUCCUCUCUCUCUCUCUCUCUCUCUCCCCGACAACACAACGCGUCCUGUUCCACCUACGUAGGAUCUGCGAAAGAGGCGUCUGUGCCUUGGAGGGAGGAGGGAGCAUUUGGAUUGAGACCACCCCAUCCCCCAGUGAUUAAAUAAAUAUAUCCCUCCCCUCCCCACGCAGGAUAGGAAAAAGUUAAUUGUGUUUUCAGAAAAGUUAACCCCUGCGUGGCUUGAGCCCCGUUCCCUCAAGGGAAGGGUGGGUAAAUGUCCCCCGAAUGAAUCUCCGCGUGGUGAGGAGAGAACUGAAGGAAAAGGUUUGUUUCUAGGGUUUUGUGUAGUUAGAGAAGGAGAAGAGUUCACUGUUUAGCAUCGCUUUCAGAAAGAGAGGCGAAGAAGAGGAAGCACUCUCCUUCCCAGGUGAAAACUGUUUUUCCUGCUUCUCAGGUCUACUCUGUCUCCUCCAAGCCUGGGUUUAUUAUUCUCGCUUCUACACAAUUCUUAUGGUCUGAAGGGCAGGCCAGAGCCCAGAGGACCCAGAAGUCUGGGAAAUAGGCGGGUCUGAGCCCAAGGUUCUCCCUCCGGCUCUGUGGCUAGGUUAAGCUAAGCGAGGCUAGGAGCUUCUUGGAAGGCUACGGCGGCUGCCCAAGACGUCCUGCCUGGUUCCAGCAUCUGCUGCUUGCUCUUGGAAUGGGAAGGGGCACUGGGGAAAGGGAAUAGCCUUCUCUUCACUUGUGGGAUAGGGAGAGGAAGAGGAAGGGACAUCCCCCAGCCUAGGUUCCCCUGAUCCCUACCCUGCCUGCAACACUCACUCCACCCCCACCCCCUACCCCCCAAAUCAUUAGAAUAUCCUGGGCUACAGAUUCUUAAGAAUCAAAGAUAUCUCAGUACGUCUGGGUACAGGGAAGAAAUUGUUCCCCCUCCAAUCUGGGUCCUCAAAACUGCCUAAUAUUUGAGGCAAUCAGAGACAGCCGGGAAGAGAGGGGACCUUGCUCCUUUUCCAGGUCUCUCCAGAAGCUGGCAGGUCUCUUUAAAAUGAAUUUUUUCCCAAGACUCGGUUUGGGCUUAGUUUUAUAAGGAGGGAGAGGUGUUCAGGUCCUCCUGGGGACUCAGCAGGCAGCUUACAACUAUCAGCCCGAAUCCCCUCUCCAGAGGCUCACCACCCUUCUGUCAGACUCUCAGUGUCUCUCCAGUCCCUCCCACAUCUCAUAUUUGUAUCACCAGCUUUGCUGCUGCACAGGCUUGAGUGUGAGAAAGAGUGCUCAUCUCUGUUCCUCUCUCUCUUUCUCUCCCUCUCUCUCUCUCUCUCUCAUCUAAGGAAAAUGAGCCUUGAAGCCAGGCUGGAAGACUGAAUCACAAUGUUUUCAACAUUCUAACUAUGCACAUGGAAGCCAGGCACUAAAGGUCGAUAAUGUUCAGACCUGAGUUCAGGAAUGAGUCAGGAUGUGUGACAAAAUCUGAUGAUGAAGGGGCCAGCUGACUGUCUGCUAUCUCAUACUUUGGGUUCCUUUUUGUGGGCCAGGUUUGCCCACUAAAGAUGACACAAGAUACUAGGGAAAGUGGUUGGGAUACUAGGGAAAGGGCUGAGCUUGGUGACCAAAAGUGGGAAAUUGGUUGGUUGCACAGUGGCCUACAAGGAUCCCGGAACUCGGGAAUGCUUCUAGGCUAUACCUUCAUGGCCACAUAGUGAUCCCUGGAUGUCCCACCAAUCACUUCCUAGCCCAACUUGGGGGGGGGGGAAGGGGGUUAUCAAAAUUUAAGAAAAUAAACUCAAGUCUUCUAAUGAUGAAGAAUCCUAAGUGCCCCAAUCUAGCUGUGAUUGGGCCAACUCCUAGAGAGGAAUAGGGAACAUUUGGGCUGGGGGAGCAAGGUCAGGAGGGUGCCUGUAUGCACCUCCCUCCUCCUUGCCACUGAGGCUAGGCCUUGGGCCAUAUCUGUCCUGCCUCCUCCCUGGUCACAGUGUCCCCUUCCUAGAAAUGCACAAUGUGGGCUUUGCUGUGGAGUCGAGACUAAGUAGGAUGCUGUAAGACAGGGAGACUUCCCUGAUACAGAAGCAUGAAAAUAAUCUCCUUAUCCUUAGAGCCACAGCCCCAAAUUAACCUCACCUCUGCAGGUUGCCUGUCACGAGAUGGAGCCCGAAGCAGGGCCUGGGCGCCUGGAGUCCAGCAUGAAAAGAAAUAGCGCCUCAUCGCUCUUAUCUAAGCCCAGAGGUAUUUAUGAGCGUUUAUUCGUCUGAUCCGUUUGUUUGGGAGAAAGAGCAGACAGGGCCCGGCCAGAGGCCGCCUGGUCUCUGGAGCCAGAUCUCUACGAAUCUGUCUGUGGUUCGGUCCACUGCCGUCUGUCUGUCUCCAAGGGGGAAUAUGUAAAUACCCAGCAGGCACAGCCGUCUGCCAGUCUGGGGUGUCUCUCCCAGCCUCAUUGAGGAAGUGUGUAUAUAGAGAGAUGGAUAUAAAUGUGUACCAAGUCUUGACUACGCAACAGAAGGAUUGUACAGAAACCCCACAGGCAGAAUUUAUAAUUGUAAUAUUCUAUGCUGUAGAUCCGAGCUCCUCUGGAUGUGCACGCAUUUUCAUUUCCCAGGGAAAUGUCCGAGUUGUGCUCAGCAACUGAGUAAAAUUCUCCUGCACCGGUAACCUCAGGGAGGGGUUUUUGCCUGUAUGUGUACGGAGGAGAGGAGGAUUGAGACACUGUCCAAGUUUCCCAUUUCCUCACAGCUACAAAGCUCCCCCCACCUCCGGCUGAUUGGGUUGUGGACAUCUUCCCCCAGCCCACUCCCAAUUCUGGCUGGGAUGGAGCGAAUGAAAAUAACUUGACUCGAUUCUUCCCCUAGACUCUGUGAUUCUCUGAAUUUGGGAAACAUAAAUGUUCCCAGAGGGAGUUCCCAACCUAGGGGAGCUGUUUACUAGGGAUAUUGCCUUAAAAUUAGCCCGCCCAAAGCGCCGGUACAAAGACCUCAUUUCCAUUAUGCAAAUGAACGGCACCGUCUCUGAUCUUGGGGGGUGGGAUGGGCGGUGACGCUCAGCUCACUCUCCCUGUUCCAGGCACCCAGGUCCAUGGGCACCCCAGGAGCCCCAAAGUGUUUCAACCCCCUGUACCAGCCACCUUCCCUCCCUACCUGUCCUUCGGAUUGCUCACAAGAAAGAGGGGCCCGAGACUUUCCGGGCAGGCUCCCUCGGGGCCUCCGCACUGGGCCGGGCCUUCUGGCCUCGGAAAGUCACUCUUUCUGCCCAAAUGCUGAAAGGGCAGCUCUCCUGUGGUCCAGACUCUGGAGGCGCCACAGCCGCUGGGUUUGCCCCCCAGCACCGCCGGCCCCCCUCCACCUCGGCAGUUCUGGCCCAGACCCUAGUAACACCUCGGCCUGCCUGGCACCGCAGGCAAUUUCCUGGAGCCCCCGCCCAGGAACUGGGGCCACAGCACCUUGAAAGGAGCGGCCAGAGCUUCCUCCUGCGGCUUGAAAGCCCGAGCUAAUCAGUAACCCGUGAGACAGGGGCCAAUAUUCAAACUCGGCAGCGGAGGCCCCGUACCCCUGCCCUCGCCACCCCCUUCUGGGAGAGCAGUCGGGUUAAGCGGGUGUGAGGGGUCCUGCAAGAACGGAAAUCACAAUGGUCUGGUUCCUUAAUGAUUGAUCCCUGCUCCCACUCCCAAUUUUUACCCAAAGCAUAUUUGUGUCGAUUUUGCUUGAAACGGUCGAGAAUGGGGGAGGGGACCCACACUCACUUGCAGACACCAACAGUUUCCAGAAAAUUCGGCUCAAUUCCUUCACCACGGACUCACCGGCCAACCCGGAGAACACAGACCC
rnacentral:lncRNA from 1 species